GAACUUCCCACCCUCUACUUCUAUAAUUCUUGAGUGUGCAGUUUCAGUUCUGUCAGCUGCAUUUGAUUUGUGCUACCUAUUUGGGUGAACAGUCUCCAGACAGCUAAUACAGAGGCGGUGGCAUAUUUAUGUUUAUAUGACCUGGUUUGUAAUAAUUGGCUAUUUAAUAAGACUGUAAGUAUUAUAUUGGUGAUGUCAAAAUUUUCAAAUGUAUUGGUAAAUAGUCUCAGUUAUUUACAUUGAUGUGGGAGCAAACUAAAGGUGAAUUUGAAACAGGGAUGCUAACUACUUGCCAUGAACGGAUGGAGCAGGAAUACACAAAUAAUGCAGCAUGCAGGCAACUGGGUUCCAGAAGUUUCAAGAAACUGAUGGGCAUAUUUUUUAAACAAGUAGCGGCCAUACAAAGCAAACACCAAUGCCAAUAAAGCAUAUUGUGCAUAUGAUCAUUCUGCAUAGGCUUAAGGUCUAGAUUAUUUUUCAAGGAUAUGAGGACUAUAUCUCAACGACCAUUUAUCUUGGAAAUGAUGGCAUGAGCAAAUUUAAUUCUCUUCUACAAAUUGUUAUUCUAAUUUAAAUAAAUUUUAUUUACGCUGUGCUUUCCUCGUCAUCGGUAUUUGCCAGCCGUGACUUGAGAUGGGCAUCGAGCAUUUUGCGUGCUCCCUACAUUGUGGUCUGUUGCUCCCAACGCUUCAGCCUGUGAUGAAUUGGUAAAAGGUCUGAGUGAGCUCCGGUGCACAGUGGGGGCUGGUGCGUGUCUUCUCUCCAUGGCGCGACCUUCCUGUGGCUUGCUCGAGCUUGUGACUCGCUGUCUGCACAAAGACGAGCAUGUGGCUGGCUGAUCAACAAGCAAACAUUAUGUGGCCUGUGCCAAGAGGUAGCGCGUUAGUUAGUCUUACCUUUGCCGAGAAGGCCGAACAUUGAAUUCUUUUGGGUAGCCACUCCCCUGGUCGCUGCCAUGUUUUGGGAAAGAUGCCAUCAUCUCCUGCUGUGCCACUGUUUUUUCACGUGUGACUACAAACUUCAUUCUGAGGCUGAA
rnacentral:lncRNA from 1 species